AAGGGGAGCACAGGAUCCUGAGCUGUGUCCCCUGGCGCCCUGGGCUCCGGGGCCUGCGCCGCUGGAAUCGUGCCCCCGGCCGCGCAGCCCCCU
rnacentral:pre_miRNA from 1 species